rnacentral:rRNA from 1 species
AGCUAUAASUUACUSAUUCUAWAGKWUAACCUGCCCAAUGUAAAAUAAUAUGAWUGGCCGCGGUACUGUGACCGUGCUAAGGUAGCGUAAUCAGUUGGCUUUUAAAUGGAGUCAGGAAUGAAUGGGAUAACCGGGCUUAGCUGUCUCUUUCUUAAUUAAUUGAAUUUACUUUGUAASYSAGAAAGCUUACUUUUUGAAGAGGGAGGAGAAGACCCUUAGAAUUUUACUUAAAUUGUUUAAUCAUACUGGUUUUGUUGGGGUGACAAAGAAAUAUAUUAUAACUUUCUUUAAAAUACUUGCCGAUUAUAUUAAGUAAGAAUAAAUUACCUGAGGGAUAACAGCAUAAUUCUACAUUUGAGUUUGUGACCUCGAUGUUGGACUAGGAAACUAGUAAGCUAGCCGUUUACUUUGUUGGUUCKSUUSYAACUSKAAUUCCU